rnacentral:lncRNA from 1 species
CCAUUGGUCUGUCUCUGCCUCUGCUUCUCUGUUUCUCUGUGUCUGUUUCCUUUCUCAGGCCCUGGCAUGGCUCAUGGCAAUUAUCUCCACCCCCACCCACCCCUCACAGCUGACAACACGUUUCCCGUGUGAGACUCUGUGUCUCCCGAGAAGCAGACACCAAGACAGGAUGAGAGAUGCACAGAUUUUAUUGGGAAAAACACCUGCAGGAGAAAACGGUCAUCAGAGCCUGAACAAGUCCUCCCGCAAUGACCUACCAGGUGGUGCCAGGCCUGUAGCAGGUACCCUGGAUCGGAUCGGCUGCUCUGCUCCACGAGGCUCCCAGCACCAUCUCAGCAGGUCGGCGCUGCCUCAGGUCUGAAAUGAUGUCUUCUCUUUCCUGUUUUCUGAGCAGCUCAUUCUGCUGCCCGUCAAAUAGGCCCUUUCCCCAGGACCCUUGGGGUCCAGCUGAGUGGAGCAGCCUCCCACACUGGAAGCCUUGAGUUUUCCCCACCUGGGCCUUUCUCUCUGUCCCUGACAUCCGGUUGGUCACCAGAUCCUGGCAGUUGAAAGUCAUUCUCAAGUCCAGCCCCACCACUGCACCUCGGUCCAUGCUCCUGGACACCAGUCUCUCACCGAGCGCUAUGCGUGGCUUGCGUCUGCGGCUGAGAAAUCCUUUCAAACGCACGCCUUCCCUAUUAUAUCCAGCAUAGGAUCUGACCCGGCAGGACCUCAGUAAAGACUUGUGGCUGCUUUAAGAGUGGGCACCUGCCGUCACAUUUUCCUCAGCAUUUUCCCUAUGCUGCUGGCGCAUUGGGUAGCUCUACUCAACCCAUGACGGAUUGCAGAUCUUUUGGCCGCUGCAUUCACAAAUUUGUCCCGAGCCGCUCCAUGGAAGGCAUCCCAGAAGCCUAUCAAUCUUCCCAUGAGUGUUCAAGAUUCCCAAAUCCCCAAAAGGCCCUAAUACCAUCUCUGUGUGAGCAGCUGCCCAUGUGUUGGGGAGUGCCCUGCCUGAGGCAGAGGGCGCACUGCAUCUGUUUGGAGGUGGGUGAGCCUCACGUGUUCUGCACAGGGCAUGAGGUAGGCAUUGGAGAGCAGCCCUGGCCCCCCCACCCAGGGGACAGUAGGUGGGGUUCUAAAUUAUGAGUCAUUAAUCAGCUCUUCAUAUGUCUGAAUUAUUCAUAAAGUAAGUGCUUGUGG